CUCCGCCCGCAUAGCAUUCCGCAUCCGAUAGCACGAGCGACAGUCCAUGGGCCACAACAGCCGAAACAGCAUGUUUGGAACACAGGUACCGCUACAAUGUUCACCCGAUGCCCCAAAGGAGGCACAAAGGCGAAAUAUGGGACAGCAACAUCAUUGAAUUCCACUAGUGUGGGUAUGCAACACAGGAACCCGACAUUUGCCCACUUACAAAACAUUCACUUGGGCUAGGACUGAAAGGAUCGCGGGGAAGCAAUU
rnacentral:lncRNA from 1 species